UGAAAUGAUGAUUUUCUGAAGUACGAGA
rnacentral:sRNA from 1 species